CACGUAGGGCGCGAGCGUUGUCCGGAAUUAUUGGGCGUAAAGAGCUCGUAGGCGGUCUGUCGCGUCUGCUGUGAAAACUCGGGGCUUAGCCCCGGGCCUGCAGUGGGUACGGGCAGACUAGAGUGCGGUAGGGGAGACUGGAAUUCCUGGUGUAGCGGUGAAAUGCGCAGAUAUCAGGAGGAACACCGGUGGCGAAGGCGGGUCUCUGGGCCGAUAUUGACGCUGAGGAGCGAAAGCGUGGGGAGCAAACAGG
rnacentral:rRNA from 1 species